rnacentral:rRNA from 1 species
GACGAACGCUGGCGGCGUGCCUAAUACAUGCAAGUUGAGCGCUGAAGGUUGGUACUUGUACCGACUGGAUGAGCAGCGCACGGGUGAGUAACGCGUGGGGAAUCUGCCUUUGAGCGGGGGACAACAUUUGGAAACGAAUGCUAAUACCGCAUAAAAACUUUAAACACAAGUUUUAAGUUUGAAAGAUGCCAUUGCAUCACUCAAAGAUGAUCCCGCGUUGUAUUAGCUAGUUGGUGAGGUAAAGGCUCACCAAGGCGAUGAUACAUAGCCGACCUGAGAGGGUGAUCGGCCACAUUGGGACUGAGACACGGCCCAAACUCCUACGGGAGGCAGCAGUAGGGAAACUUCGGCAAUGGACGAAAGUCUGACCGAGCAACGCCGCGGGAGUGAAGAAGGUUGUCGGAUCGUAAAACUCGGUUGGUAGAGAAGAAAGUUGGUGAGAGUGGAAAGCUCAUCAAGUGACGGUAACUACUCAGAAAGGGACGGCUAACUACGUG